rnacentral:rRNA from 1 species
GAUCCGUAACUUCAGGACAAGGAUUGGCUUUAAGGGUUGGGCUAGGGAGUCCUGGCCCCAAACCUGUCGGCUACUGGCAGAUUACUUGAGUUGUUCGAACAACCGACUCAGAACUGGUACGGACAAGGGGAAUCCAACUAUUUAAUUAAAACAAAGCAUUGCGAUGGUCCUUGCGGAUGCUGACGCAAUGUGAUUUCUGUCCAAUGCUCUGAAUGUCAAAGUGAAAAAUUCUACCAAGCACGGGUAAACGACGGGAGUAACUAUGACUCUCUAGGUUUGUGAAGGUGAGGGCGAAAACACCAUAGGUACUAGAAAAUAUAGUGAUUGUG